rnacentral:rRNA from 1 species
CCUACGGGAGGCAGCAGUGAGGAAUAUUGGUCAAUGGCCGGAAGGCUGAACCAGCCAUGCCGCGUGAAGGUCAGUGCCCUAUGGGCGUUAAACUUCUUUUGUGCGGGAGCAAUAAUGGUCACGUGUGGCCAGACGAGAGUACCGUACGAAUAAGCAUCGGCUAACUCCGUGCCAGCAGCCGCGGUAAGACGGGGGAUGCAAGCGUUAUCCGGAUUUAUUGGGUUUAAAGGGUGCGUAGGCUGUGAGGUAAGGCAGCGGUGAAAUGCCCCCGCUCAACGGGGUGAAGUGCCAUUGAUACUGCCAUGCUGGAAUGCGGAUGCGGUGGGAGGAAUGUGUGGUGUAGCGGUGAAAUGCAUAGAUAUCACACAGAACACCGAUUGCGAAGGCAUCUCACGAAUCCGCGAUUGACGCUGAUGCACGAAAGCGUGGGUAUCAAACAGGAUUAGAUACCCGGGUAGUC